CCGUCGGGUGCCAGGCCACGA
rnacentral:misc_RNA from 1 species